rnacentral:rRNA from 1 species
UACGUAGGGGGCGAGCGUUGUCCGGAUUUACUGGGCGUAAAGGGUGAGUAGGCGGUUAUAUAUGUCAGGUGUAAGAGAUCAUGGCUUAACCAUGGUUAGCACUUGAAACUGUAUGACUUGAGUGCAGGAGAGGUAAGCGGAAUUCCUAGUGUAGCGGUGAAAUGCGUAGAUAUUAGGAGGAACACCAGUGGCGAAGGCGGCUUACUGGACUGUAACUGACGCUGAGUCACGAAAGCGUGGGUAGCAAACAGGAUUAGAUACCCUGGUAGUCCACGCUGUAAACGAUGAGUGCUAGGUGUUGGCCAGCGAUGGUCAGUGCCGGAGUAAACACAAUAAGCACUCCGCCUGGGGAGUACGUACGCAAGUAUAAA